rnacentral:piRNA from 1 species
GUCCUGACAUGAUCUGCUUCCGGGUCAGG